AGAGUUUGAUCCUGGCUCAGGAUGAACGCUGGCGGCGUGCCUAAUACAUGCAAGUCGAACGAGGCCCUCUUCCUUCGGGAAGAGGUGUCCUAGUGGCGAACGGGUGAGUAACACGUUGGUGACCUACCCCGAAGAGGGGGACAACCCCGGGAAACUGGGGCUAAUACCCCAUGUGAUCCUAAGGACUAGAUGCCUAAGGAUGAAAUGGAGCAAUUCGCUUCGGGAGGGGCCUGCGGCCUAUCAGCUAGUUGGUGAGGUAAUGGCUCACCAAGGCGACGACGGGUAGGGGACCUGAGAGGGUGACCCCCCACACUGGAACUGAAACACGGACCAGACACCUACGGGUGGCAGCAGUAGGGAAUAUUGCACAAUAGGCGAAAGCCUGAUGCAGCAACGCCGCGUGCGCGAUGAAGGCCUUAGGGUUGUAAAGCGCUUUUCUGGGGGACGAGAAAGGACGGUACCCCAGGAAUAAGUCUCGGCUAACUACGUGCCAGCAGCCGCGGUAAAACGUAGGAGGCGAGCGUUAUCCGGAUUUACUGGGCGUAAAGCGCGUGCAGGCGGUUUGGUAAGUCGGACGUGAAAGCUCCCGGCUCAACUGGGAGAGGCCGUUCGAAACUACCAGGACUAGAGGGCAGCAGAGGGAGGUGGAAUUCCAGGUGUAGCGGUGAAAUGCGUAGAUAUCUGGAGGAACACCAGUGGCGAAGGCGGCCUCCUGGACUGUCCCUGACGCUAAGACGCGAAAGCUAGGGGAGCAAACGGGAUUAGAAACCCCGGUAGUCCUAGCCGUAAACGAUGCACACUUGGUGUUGGUGGUGUAAAAACCUUCAGUGCCGCAGCUAACGCGAUAAGUGUGCCGCCUGGGGACUACGGUCGCAAGGCUAAAACUCAAA
rnacentral:rRNA from 1 species